AACAGCUCAGGAUGAACGCUGGCGGCGUGCCUAAUACAUGCAAGUCGAGCGAACAGACAAGGAGCUUGCUCCUUUGACGUUAGCGGCGGACGGGUGAGUAACACGUGGGUAACCUACCUAUAAGACUGGGAUAACUUCGGGAAACCGGAGCUAAUACCGGAUAAUAUUUCGAACCGCAUGGUUCGAUAGUGAAAGAUGGUUUUGCUAUCACUUAUAGAUGGACCCGCGCCGUAUUAGCUAGUUGGUAAGGUAACGGCUUACCAAGGCGACGAUACGUAGCCGACCUGAGAGGGUGAUCGGCCACACUGGAACUGAGACACGGUCCAGACUCCUACGGGAGGCAGCAGUAGGGAAUCUUCCGCAAUGGGCGAAAGCCUGACGGAGCAACGCCGCGUGAGUGAUGAAGGUCUUCGGAUCGUAAAACUCUGUUAUUAGGGAAGAACAUACGUGUAAGUAACUAUGCACGUCUUGACGGUACCUAAUCAGAAAGCCACGGCUAACUACGUGCCAGCAGCCGCGGUAAUACGUAGGUGGCAAGCGUUAUCCGGAAUUAUUGGGCGUAAAGCGCGCGUAGGCGGUUUUUUAAGUCUGAUGUGAAAGCCCACGGCUCAACCGUGGAGGGUCAUUGGAAACUGGAAAACUUGAGUGCAGAAGAGGAAAGUGGAAUUCCAUGUGUAGCGGUGAAAUGCGCAGAGAUAUGGAGGAACACCAGUGGCGAAGGCGACUUUCUGGUCUGUAACUGACGCUGAUGUGCGAAAGCGUGGGGAUCAAACAGGAUUAGAUACCCUGGUAGUCCACGCCGUAAACGAUGAGUGCUAAGUGUUAGGGGGUUUCCGCCCCUUAGUGCUGCAGCUAACGCAUUAAGCACUCCGCCUGGGGAGUACGACCGCAAGGUUGAAACUCAAAGGAAUUGACGGGGACCCGCACAAGCGGUGGAGCAUGUGGUUUAAUUCGAAGCAACGCGAAGAACCUUACCAAAUCUUGACAUCCUUUGACAACUCUAGAGAUAGAGCCUUCCCCUUCGGGGGACAAAGUGACAGGUGGUGCAUGGUUGUCGUCAGCUCGUGUCGUGAGAUGUUGGGUUAAGUCCCGCAACGAGCGCAACCCUUAAGCUUAGUUGCCAUCAUUAAGUUGGGCACUCUAAGUUGACUGCCGGUGACAAACCGGAGGAAGGUGGGGAUGACGUCAAAUCAUCAUGCCCCUUAUGAUUUGGGCUACACACGUGCUACAAUGGACAAUACAAAGGGCAGCGAAACCGCGAGGUCAAGCAAAUCCCAUAAAGUUGUUCUCAGUUCGGAUUGUAGUCUGCAACUCGACUACAUGAAGCUGGAAUCGCUAGUAAUCGUAGAUCAGCAUGCUACGGUGAAUACGUUCCCGGGUCUUGUACACACCGCCCGUCACACCACGAGAGUUUGUAACACCCGAAGCCGGUGGAGUAACCAUUUGGAGCUAGCCGUCGAAGGUGGGACAAAUGAUUGGGGUGAGCUAG
rnacentral:rRNA from 1 species